AGAAUCAACGCUGGCGGCGUGCCUAACACAUGCAAGUCGAACGAGAAAGUGGAGCAAUCCAUGAGUAAAGUGGCGCACGGGUGAGUAACACGUGACUAACCUACCCUUGAGUGGGGGAUAACCUAGGGAAACCUGGGCUAAUACCGCAUAACACUUACGAGUCAAAGCAGCAAUGCGCUUGGAGAGGAGUUCGCGGCAGAUUAGUUAGUUGGCGGGGUAAUGGCCCACCAAGACGAUGAUCUGUA
rnacentral:rRNA from 1 species